UGGUCUAAUGGUAUGAUACAUGCUUAGGACGCAUGUGGUUCCAGGUUCGAUUCCUG
rnacentral:tRNA from 14 species